UACGGAGGGUGCAAGCGUUAAUCGGAAUUACUGGGCGUAAAGCGCACGUAGGCGGUUUUCUAAGUCAGAUGUGAAAUCCCCGGGCUUAACCUGGGAACUGCACCUGAUACUGGAAGACUAGAAUGUGGGAGAGGAGAGUGGAAUUUCCGGUGUAGCGGUGAAAUGCAUAGAGAUCGGAAGGAACACCAGUGGCGAAGGCGGCUCUCUGGACCAACAUUGACGCUGAGGUGCGAAAGCGUGGGUAGCAAACAGGAUUAGAUACCCUGGUAGUCCACGCCGUAAACGAUGUCAACUAGCCGCUAGUCUCGCUUUAGAGAUUGGUGGUGCAGCUAACGCAUUAAGUUGACCGCCUGGGGAGUACGGCCGCAAGGUUGAA
rnacentral:rRNA from 1 species